GGCGGCAGGCCUAACACAUGCAAGUCGAGCGCAGUCCUUCGGGACCGAGCGGCGGACGGGUUAGUAACGCGUGGGAACAUACCCUUUUCUACGGAAUAGCCUCGGGAAACUGAGAGUAAUACCGUAUAAGCCCUUCGGGGGAAAGAUUUAUCGGGAAAGGAUUGGCCCGCGUUAGAUUAGAUAGUUGGUGGGGUAAUGGCCUACCAAGUCUACGAUCUAUAGCUGGUUUUAGAGGAUGAUCAGCAACACUGGGACUGAGACACGGCCCAGACUCCUACGGGAGGCAGCAGUGGGGAAUCUUAGACAAUGGGCGCAAGCCUGAUCUAGCCAUGCCGCGUGUGUGAUGAAGGUCUUAGGAUCGUAAAGCACUUUCGCCAGGGAUGAUAAUGACAGUACCUGGUAAAGAAACCCCGGCUAACUCCGUGCCAGCAGCCGCGGUAAUACGGAGGGGGUUAGCGUUGUUCGGAAUUACUGGGCGUAAAGCGUACGUAGGCGGAUCAGAAAGUAGGGGGUGAAAUCCCAGGGCUCAACCCUGGAACUGCCUCCUAAACUCCUGGUCUUGAGUUCGAGAGAGGUGAGUGGAAUUCCAAGUGUAGAGGUGAAAUUCGUAGAUAUUUGGAGGAACACCAGUGGCGAAGGCGGCUCACUGGCUCGAUACUGACGCUGAGGUACGAAAGUGUGGGGAGCAAACAGGAUUAGAUACCCUGGUAGUCCACACCGUAAACGAUGAAUGCCAGUCGUCGGGCAGUAUACUGUUCGGUGACACACCUAACGGAUUAAGCAUC
rnacentral:rRNA from 1 species